GGGGGCACCUGAUCAGCAAUGCCGCGUGAGUGAAGAAGGCCUUCGGGUUGUAAAGCUCUUUUGUCAGGGAAGAAACAGCAGCUCUAACACAGUCUGCGAAUGACGGUACCUGAAGAAUAAGCACCGGCUAACUACGUGCCAGCAGCCGCGGUAAUACGUAGGGUGCGAGCGUUAAUCGGAAUUACUGGGCGUAAAGCGUGCGCAGGCGGUUAUACAAGACAGGCGUGAAAUCCCCGGGCUUAACCUGGGAAUGGCGUCUGUGACUGUAUAGCUAGAGUGUGUCAGAGGGGGGUGGAAUUCCACGUGUAGCAGUGAAAUGCGUAGAUAUGUGGAGGAACACCAAUGGCGAAGGCAGCCCCCUGGGAUAACACUGACGCUCAUGCACGAAAGCGUGGGGAGCAAACAGGAUUAGAUACCCUGGUAGUCCACGCCCUAAACGAUGCUGACUAGUUGUUGGGAAUCUACAUUCUCAGUAACGUAGCUAACGCGUGAAGUCAGCCGCCUGGGGAGUACGGUCGCAAGAUUAAAACUCAAAGGAAUUGACGGGGACCCGCACAAGCGGUGGAUGAUGUGGAUUAAUUCGAUGCAGCGCGAAAAACUUUACUAACCUUGACAUGUC
rnacentral:rRNA from 1 species